rnacentral:rRNA from 1 species
AUACGGAGGAUCCGAGCGUUAUCCGGAUUUAUUGGGUUUAAAGGGUGCGCAGGCGGCCAUUUAAGUCAGCGGUUAAAUCGUGGGGCUCAACCCCAUUCUGCCGUUGAUACUGGGUGGCUUGAUUGCGGUCGAGGUUGGCGGAAUUCGUUGUGUAGCGGUGAAAUUCAUAGAUAUGACGAAGAACACCGAUUGCGUAGGCAGCUGACCAGACCGCAAAUGACGCUCAUGCACGAAAGUGCGGAGAUCGAACAGGAUUAGAUACCCUGGUAGUCCGCACAGUAAACGAUGAAUACUUGUUUUCGGCGAUAUAAUGUCGGAGGCAAAGCGAAAGCGAUAAGUAUUCCACCUGGGGAGUACGCCGGCAACGGUGAAACUCAAAUGAAUUGACGGGG